rnacentral:lncRNA from 1 species
CAAUGUUUUGUUUAUCCAUUAAUCUGCCCAUGGACAUUUGGGUUGCUUCCACCUCUUGGCUAUUGUGAAUAAUGCUGUGACAGAGGUUCCCCUUUUUUAAGGGAAGGGGGUAAAGUAUGUAGUUAGCAUGGCACAUAUGAAGUUGCAAAACAGGGAAAUUAUGACAGAUAAAUUGGUGAAAUUAUCUGGAAUCCUGAAUUUUACAUACAAAGGCCAAGAGGAGGUGGAGUUGCAGUGACCCUGCUCAUUUCUCUUUACAAAGUCAUGGAAAUGGAUGAGAUCUGAAAAAUUCUUAGAUGCUAGGUAUUUGGUCUUGCAGACAGCUCAAUUGUGUUCACAAGCAGAAGCCAAAUAAGAGCUCUCUCCAUUUUCUCUGUAGGUUUUCUGGACCUAUUUAGAACAUAAACACCACAAAUCAUUUGUCUCAGGAAGGUUCUUUUAUUA